UUUGGGAUGUAGAGGUUGAAGAACAGAAAAAUCUUAAGCCAUCAGGUCAGGAUGUCAGGUUCAGAAUUGCCUGGGCAUCUUCGAGUGUCAUGAUGAUGUUGAUUAUCGGGAUAUGGUGGUACGUGUGCUCCAUACCGUGGCUGAGCCUGUCGGAUCCGCAGAGUGGCUGCACGACACCUUAGGGACCCGAUGUGAAGUCGCAUAUGCUAUUCUACAGUGCUUGCCCUCUAAAAUCUGAAUUGUCGGUUGUACAUUUAGUGUUGAACUGCAGUAAUCUACUGCACUUGCAUCUGAAUUGUACAUUUAAUAAGUUAAUACUUGAGAGUUAAGAUAGAUCACUAAUCUGGCUGGGUCUCUAUCGUUGUGGCAAUUUGGCAAGCGUUUCUAGAGGUGAUAAAUCUGCAAGCAGAAAGUCAAUGUCCUUCUGCUAUGCCGCACAAUUACAGUGCUUUCACAUUAUGGAUAACUUUGUUUCCUAAAAGUAAAAUCUUUGUCAGUGCCAAAUCAGGGUGCAGGACAAGUCAGCCAUCCGUGCGAAGUCGGUGUCAGCAAGGGUGUGGGGCGUCCGGAGGAGCAUCCGGGUUGAAGGUUCUGGCCCUCACCAUCGAGACUACCAUGGUCGUCGCCAAGUACAUCUGGAAUGAGAAGGUGGAGUUGCGACAGGAAGGAGGAAUGAAUUUCUAAUGGAUCUACUGUCUCCCUUGAGUUGGGGCGAACGUAGUGAAGCACCACGCUGUGUUUAUUGAUCUGGAAUCCAAGAGGAUCACCCGCCCUUGGUUGUUCCCUUCGUUUGUCAACUAGGUGACUUUUCAUGUGAUUUCUGCUUCCAAAAAUUAGAAAAUACCUUCAGAUCAAACCAGCAGAUUUGUAGAUUUCUGGGAAUUGCUGCUACUCCAUCUCCAUCUAGCCAAUGGUCUUUGGUUACUGAUUCUGAGUGAGCUCGAGAAAACACAACUACAAGCUUUCAGGUCCUAAAUGAGAAGGUAAGGAUGUACUUGAGCAGUAUGAGAAGACCCAGUUCCAUCAUCU